rnacentral:rRNA from 2 species
GCAAGUCGAGCGGACUAAUGGGAGCUUGCUCCCGUUAGUUAGCGGCGGACGGGUGAGUAACACGUGGGCAACCUACCUGUAAGACUGGGAUAACUUCGGGAAACCGGAGCUAAUACCGGAUGACACUGAGGAACUCCUGUUCCUUAGUUGAAAGAUGGCCUCGGCUAUCACUUACAGAUGGGCCCGCGGCGCAUUAGCUAGUUGGUGAGGUAACGGCUCACCAAGGCGACGAUGCGUAGCCGACCUGAGAGGGUGAUCGGCCACACUGGGACUGAGACACGGCCCAGACUCCUACGGGAGGCAGCAGUAGGGAAUCUUCCGCAAUGGACGAAAGUCUGACGGAGCAACGCCGCGUGAGCGAUGAAGGCCUUCGGGUCGUAAAGCUCUGUUGUUAGGGAAGAACAAGUGCUAGUUAAAUAAGCUGGCACCUUGACGGUACCUAACCAGAAAGCCACGGCUAACUACGUGCCAGCAGCCGCGGUAAUACGUAGGUGGCAAGCGUUGUCCGGAAUUAUUGGGCGUAAAGCGCGCGCAGGCGGUUUCUUAAGUCUGAUGUGAAAGCCCCCGGCUCAACCGGGGAGGGUCAUUGGAAACUGGGAAACUUGAGUGCAGAAGAGGAAAGUGGAAUUCCAAGUGUAGCGGUGAAAUGCGUAGAGAUUUGGAGGAACACCAGUGGCGAAGGCGACUUUCUGGUCUGUAACUGACGCUGAGGCGCGAAAGCGUGGGGAGCAAACAGGAUUAGAUACCCUGGUAGUCCACGCUGUAAACGAUGAGUGCUAAGUGUUAGAGGGUUUCCGCCCUUUAGUGCUGAAGUUAACGCAUUAAGCACUCCGCCUGGGGAGUACGGUCGCAAGACUGAAACUCAAAGGAAUUGACGGGGGCCCGCACAAGUGGUGGAGCAUGUGGUUUAAUUCGAAGCAACGCGAAGAACCUUACCAGGUCUUGACAUCCUCUGACAACCCUAGAAGAUAGGGCGUUCCCUUCGGGGACAGAGUGACAGGUGGUGCAUGGUUGUCGUCAGCUCGUGUCGUGAGAUGUUGGGUUAAGUCCCGCAACGAGCGCAACCCUUGAUCUUAGUUGCCAGCAUUUAGUUGGGCACUCUAAGGUGACUGCCGGUGACAAACCGGAGGAAGGUGGGGAUGACGUCAAAUCAUCAUGCCCCUUAUGACCUGGGCUACACACGUGCUACAAUGGAUAGUACAAAGGGUUGCAAGACCGCGAGGUGGAGCUAAUCCCAUAAAACUAUUCUCAGUUCGGAUUGUAGGCUGCAACUCGCCUACA